rnacentral:rRNA from 1 species
GGGGACCUACGGGAGGCAGCAGUGGGGAAUAUUGCACAAUGGGGGAAACCCUGAUGCAGUGACGCCGCGUGAGCGAUGAAGUAUUUCGGUAUGUAAAGCUCUAUCAGCAGGGAAGAAAAUGACGGUACCUGACUAAGAAGCCCCGGCUAACUACGUGCCAGCAGCCGCGGUAAUACGUAGGGGGCAAGCGUUAUCCGGAUUUACUGGGUGUAAAGGGAGCGUAGACGGUUCUGCAAGCCAGCUGUGAAAGCCCGGGGCUCAACCACGGGACUGCAUUUG